rnacentral:rRNA from 1 species
GACGAACGCUGGCGGCGUGCUUAACACAUGCAAGUCGAACGGAAAGGCCCUGCUUUUGUGGGGUGCUCGAGUGGCGAACGGGUGAGUAACACGUGAGUAACCUGCCCUUGACUUUGGGAUAACUUCAGGAAACUGGGGCUAAUACCGGAUAGGAGCUCCUGCUGCAUGGUGGGGGUUGGAAAGUUUCGGCGGUUGGGGAUGGACUCGCGGCUUAUCAGCUUGUUGGUGGGGUAGUGGCUUACCAAGGCUUUGACGGGUAGCCGGCCUGAGAGGGUGACCGGCCACAUUGGGACUGAGAUACGGCCCAGAGUCCUACGGGGGGCAGCAGUGGGGAAUAUUGCACAAUGGGCGGAAGCCUGAUGCAGCAACGCCGCGUGCGGGAUGACGGCCUUAGGGGUGUAAACCGCUUUCGCCUGUGACGAAGCGUGAGUGACGGUAAUGGGUAAAGAAGCACCGGCUAACUACGUG